rnacentral:rRNA from 1 species
GAGUGAUCGAAAGAUGAAAAGCACUUUGAAAAGAGAGUUAAAAAGCACGUGAAAUUGUUGAAAGGGAAGCGCUUGCGACCAGACUCGCUCGCGGGGUUCAGCCGGCAUUCGUGCCGGUGUACUUCCCCGCGAGCGGGCCAGCGUCGGUUUGGGCGGUCGGUCAAAGGCCUCUGGAAGGUAACGCCCCCUCGGGGGCGUCUUAUAGCCAGGGGUGCAAUGCGGCCUGCCCGGACCGAGGAACGCGCUUCGGCUCGGACGCUGGCAUAAUGGUCGUAAGCGACCC